UCCGUAGGGAGCAAGCGUUGUCCGGAAUCAUUGGGCGUAAAGCGCGCGUAGGUGGCCUCAUAAGUCCGCUGUGAAAGUCCAAGGCUCAACCUUGGAAAGCCGGUGGAUACUGUGAGGCUAGAGUACGGAAGAGGCGAGUGGAAUUCCUGGUGUAGCGGUGGAAUGCGCAGAUAUCAGGAGGAACACCAAUAGCGAAGGCAGCUCGCUGGGACGUUACUGACACUGAGGCGCGAAAGCGUGGGGAGCGAACAGG
rnacentral:rRNA from 1 species